rnacentral:rRNA from 1 species
CUACGGGAGGCAGCAGUGGGGAAUAUUGGACAAUGGGCGAAAGCCUGAUCCAGCAAUGCCGCGUGAGUGAUGAAGGCCUUAGGGUUGUAAAGCUCUUUUACCUCAGGGAUGAUAAUGACCAGUACCCCUGGAGAAUAAGCUCCG